rnacentral:rRNA from 1 species
UACGGAGGAUGCGAGCGUUAUCCGGAUUUAUUGGGUUUAAAGGGUGCGUAGGCGGACUGUCAAGUCAGCGGUAAAAUUGAGAGGCUCAACCUCUUCCCGCCGUUGAAACUGGUGGUCUUGAGUGGAUGAGAAGUACGCGGAAUGCGUGGUGUAGCGGUGAAAUGCAUAGAUAUCACGCAGAACUCCGAUUGCGAAGGCAACGUACCGGCAUCCAACUGACGCUGAGGCACGAAAGCGUGGGGAUCAAACAGG